GGUUAAGCGACUAAGCGUACACGGUGGAUGCCCUGGCAGUCAGAGGCGAUGAAGGACGUGCUAAUCUGCGAUAAGCGUCGGUAAGGUGAUAUGAACCGUUAUAACCGGCGAUUUCCGAAUGGGGAAACCCAGUGUGUUUCGACACACUAUCAUUAACUGAAUCCAUAGGUUAAUGAGGCGAACCGGGGGAACUGAAACAUCUAAGUACCCCGAGGAAAAGAAAUCAACCGAGAUUCCCCCAGUAGCGGCGAGCGAACGGGGAGCAGCCCAGAGUCUGAAUCAGUGUGUGUGUUAGUGGAAGCGUCUGGAAAGGCGCGCGAUACAGGGUGACAGCCCCGUACACAAAAAUGCACAUAUUGUGAGCUCGAUGAGUAGGGCGGGACACGUGGUAUCCUGUCUGAAUAUGGGGGGACCAUCCUCCAAGGCUAAAUACUCCUGACUGACCGAUAGUGAACCAGUACCGUGAGGGAAAGGCGAAAAGAACCCCGGCGAGGGGAGUGAAAAAGAACCUGAAACCGUGUACGUACAAGCAGUGGGAGCCUCUUUUAUGGGGUGACUGCGUACCUUUUGUAUAAUGGGUCAGCGACUUAUAUUCUGUAGCAAGGUUAACCGAAUAGGGGAGCCGAAGGGAAACCGAGUCUUAACUGGGCGUUAAGUUGCAGGGUAUAGACCCGAAACCCGGUGAUCUAGCCAUGGGCAGGUUGAAGGUUGGGUAACACUAACUGGAGGACCGAACCGACUAAUGUUGAAAAAUUAGCGGAUGACUUGUGGCUGGGGGUGAAAGGCCAAUCAAACCGGGAGAUAGCUGGUUCUCCCCGAAAGCUAUUUAGGUAGCGCCUCGUGAAUUCAUCUCCGGGGGUAGAGCACUGUUUCGGCAAGGGGGUCAUCCCGACUUACCAACCCGAUGCAAACUGCGAAUACCGGAGAAUGUUAUCACGGGAGACACACGGCGGGUGCUAACGUCCGUCGUGAAGAGGGAAACAACCCAGACCGCCAGCUAAGGUCCCAAAGUCAUGGUUAAGUGGGAAACGAUGUGGGAAGGCCCAGACAGCCAGGAUGUUGGCUUAGAAGCAGCCAUCAUUUAAAGAAAGCGUAAUAGCUCACUGGUCGAGUCGGCCUGCGCGGAAGAUGUAACGGGGCUAAACCAUGCACCGAAGCUGCGGCAGCGACACUGUGUGUUGUUGGGUAGGGGAGCGUUCUGUAAGCCUGUGAAGGUGUGCUGUGAGGCAUGCUGGAGGUAUCAGAAGUGCGAAUGCUGACAUAAGUAACGAUAAAGCGGGUGAAAAGCCCGCUCGCCGGAAGACCAAGGGUUCCUGUCCAACGUUAAUCGGGGCAGGGUGAGUCGACCCCUAAGGCGAGGCCGAAAGGCGUAGUCGAUGGGAAACAGGUUAAUAUUCCUGUACUUGGUGUUACUGCGAAGGGGGGACGGAGAAGGCUAUGUUGGCCGGGCGACGGUUGUCCCGGUUUAAGCGUGUAGGCUGGUUUUCCAGGCAAAUCCGGAAAAUCAAGGCUGAGGCGUGAUGACGAGGCACUACGGUGCUGAAGCAACAAAUGCCCUGCUUCCAGGAAAAGCCUCUAAGCAUCAGGUAACAUCAAAUCGUACCCCAAACCGACACAGGUGGUCAGGUAGAGAAUACCAAGGCGCUUGAGAGAACUCGGGUGAAGGAACUAGGCAAAAUGGUGCCGUAACUUCGGGAGAAGGCACGCUGAUAUGUAGGUGAAGUCCCUCGCGGAUGGAGCUGAAAUCAGUCGAAGAUACCAGCUGGCUGCAACUGUUUAUUAAAAACACAGCACUGUGCAAACACGAAAGUGGACGUAUACGGUGUGACGCCUGCCCGGU
rnacentral:rRNA from 1 species